rnacentral:rRNA from 1 species
GACGAACGCUGGCGGCGCGCUUAACACAUGCAAGUCGAGCGAGAACCAGGCCUUCGGGCCUGGGGACGAGCGGCGAACGGGUGAGUAACACGUGGGUAAUCAACCCUCGAUACUGGGAUAGCCCGGGGGAAACCCGGGAUUAAUACCGGAUGGCCCUUCGGAUCCUCGGAUCUGAAGGAAAAGGUAAGCUUCGGCCUCCGAUCGAGGACGAGCCCGCGGCGGAUUAGCUUGUUGGUGAGGUAACGGCUCACCAAGGCGACGAUCCGUAGCUGGUCUGAGAGGACGAUCAGCCACACUGGGACUGAGACACGGCCCAGACUCCUACGGGAGGCAGCAGUGGGGAAUCUUGCGCUAAUGCGGGAAACCGUGACGCAGCGACGCCGCGUGAGGG